rnacentral:rRNA from 1 species
GAUGAACGCUGGCGGCGUGCCUAAUACAUGCAAGUCGAGCGAACAUACGAGGAGCUUUCUCGUCUGACGAUAGGGGCGGACGAGUGAGUACCACAUUGUUAACCUACCGAUAAGACUUGGAUAACUUCCGGAAACCGGUGCUAAUAACGCAGAAUAUACUGAACCCCUUGCUUUAAUGGUGAAAGACGGUUUUGCUGUCACUUGUAGAUGGAUCCGCGCCGCAUCAACUGGUUGGUAAGGUAACGGCUUACCAAGGCAACGAUGUCUAGCCGACCUGAGAGGAUGAUCGGCUACACCAGAAAUGAGACGAGGUCGAGACUACUACGGAAGGCAGCAGAAGGGAAUGUUAAGCAAUAGGCGAAGGCGUGACGGAGCAACGCCGCGGGAGUGAAGAAGGUCCACGGAUCGUAAGACGCCGUUAUUAGCAGAGAACAAUGGUGUGAUUAUAUGUGCACGUAUUGACGGUACCUGGAAAGAAAGCCACGGCUAACUACGUG